UACAGAGGGGGCAAGCGUUGUUCGGAAUUACUGGGCGUAAAGGGCGCGUAGGCGGCCUGCUAAGUCGAACGUGAAAUCCCUGGGCUCAACCCAGGAACUGCGUCCGAUACUGGUUGGCUUGAGUUCGGGAGAGGGAUGCGGAAUUCCAGGUGUAGCGGUGAAAUGCGUAGAUAUCUGGAGGAACACCGGUGGCGAAGGCGGCAUCCUGGACCGAGAUUGACGCUGAGGCGCGAAAGCCAGGGGAGCAAACGGG
rnacentral:rRNA from 1 species